AGAGUUUGAUCCUGGCUCAGGAUGAACGCUAGCGGGAGGCCUAACACAUGCAAGUCGAACGGGAUUGAGAGCUUGCUCUCAUGAGAGUGGCGCACGGGUGAGUAACGCGUAUGCAACCUACCUUUAACUGAGGGAUAGCCCAUAGAAAUGUGGAUUAAUACCUCAUAGUUCUUUUGAUCCGCAUGGAUUAAAAGAUAAAGCUCCGGCGGUUAAAGAUGGGCAUGCGUGACAUUGGCUAGUUGGUAAGGUAACGGCUUACCAAGGCUACGAUGUCUAGGGGUUCUGAGAGGAUGAUCCCCCACACUGGUACUGAGACACGGACCAGACUCCUACGGGAGGCAGCAGUGGGGAAUUUUGGACAAUGGGCGAAAGCCUGAUCCAGCAAUGCCGCGUGAGUGAAGAAGGCCUUCGGGUUGUAAAGCUCUUUUGUCAGGGAAGAAACGGUGAAGGCUAAUAUCCUUCGCUAAUGACGGUACCUGAAGAAUAAGCACCGGCUAACUACGUGCCAGCAGCCGCGGUAAUACGUAGGGUGCAAGCGUUAAUCGGAAUUACUGGGCGUAAAGCGUGCGCAGGCGGUUUUGUAAGUCUGACGUGAAAUCCCCGGGCUCAACCUGGGAAUUGCGUUGGAGACUGCAAGGCUAGAAUCUGGCAGAGGGGGGUAGAAUUCCACGUGUAGCAGUGAAAUGCGUAGAGAUGUGGAGGAACACCGAUGGCGAAGGCAGCCCCCUGGGUCAAGAUUGACGCUCAUGCACGAAAGCGUGGGGAGCAAACAGGAUUAGAUACCCUGGUAGUCC
rnacentral:rRNA from 1 species